UUGGAGGGCAAGUCUGGUGCCAGCAGCCGCGGUAAUUCCAGCUCCAAUAGCGUAUAUUAAAGUUGUUGCAGUUAAAAAGCUCGUAGUUGAACCUUGGGCCUGGCUGGCCGGUCCGCCUCACCGCGUGUACUGGUCCGGCCGGGCCUUUCCUUCUGGGGAGCCGCAUGCCCUUCACUGGGCGUGUCGGGGAACCAGGACUUUUACUGUGAAAAAAUUAGAGUGCUCCAGGCAGGCCUAUGCUCGAAUAGAUUAGCAUGGAAUAAUGGAAUAGGACGUGUGGCCUUAUUUCGUUGGUUUCUAGGACCGCCGUAAUGAUUAAUAGGGACAGUCGGGGGCAUCAGCAUUCAAUCGUCAGAGGUGAAAUUCUUGGAUCGAUUGAAGACUAACUACUGCGAAAGCAUUUGCCAAGGAUGUUUUCAUUUAUCAGGAACGAAAGUUAGGGGAUCGAAGACGAUCAGAUACCGUCGUAGUCUUAACCAUAAACUAUGCCGACUAGGGAUCGGACGGUGUUAUUUCUUGACCCGUUCGGCGCCUUACGGGAAAC
rnacentral:rRNA from 1 species